GUCCACAGAGGAAUCUGAGGCAGAAAAAAGUUGAUGACAGAUUAGAUAUUUAAUGAAAUAAGAAGAUGGAAGCCGCUGCCGCCGGAAUUCACAUCCCCUCCAUCACCGCGACUGCGGAGCAGAUCCAGGUGAGGGUGGGCGAGGCUGUGGAGGUGGCCAUAUACCAGCCGGAUGACCCGAGCGCGAACACAGGCUGCCACAGCGUCACCUCCACCGUCCUGGCGGGUCUGCAUGUCCUCGCGUCCCCGCAGGACGUGCCGCUGCUCGCCUCGCCCCAGCAGGCCGCGCAGGUGGUGGAGCACCAGGCCCAGAUCAGCGUCGCGAUAGAUCAGGUGGCCUUCGCCGAGGUGGCCUCGCUCCUGGACCCCAACAUGAAGAGCUCCAAGGCGCGCAAGUACCAGAUCCGCUACGACGAGGUGAAGCGGCGGCUGGGGUCGCCGGAGAAGAUGUCGCUGCGCUCCCUCGCCGCCUACACGCGGGUCAGCAGGGGCCCGGCCAGCAAGAAGACGCUGCUGAAGUCCCUCAACAUGCUGGGCCUGGCGCCCAGCACCAACACGGCGGUGUCCAGCUCCUUCUCCAAGCUGACCGAAGGUGACACCGCUGCCCUGUGUAAAGACAUGAAGGACUUUGCGUCUCAGUACGUGGACUACGAGAACGUGGCGAAGCAGCUGAUGCCGGACACCAACCAGGUGCAACACUGGUCCAAGAUCAUCGAGACGAGGAACUACCUGGAGGAAAUGAGGAAGUGCUUCCACGACCCGGCCAACAGCAGGUCCUUCGCCAACGCCACCCACGGCCUGGGCAACGGCAUGCUGGACGUCACCCUGGACAUGGUCAACGCGGUCAUCGAGCGGCAGAUCCGCGUCCUCUCGGGCAACACGGAGCCCAAACCCGAGGACCCGCCGGCGCGCAAGACCCGCAAGCGGGCGCGGCGGCCCCGGGCGGCGCAGGACGACGGCAAGUCCGGAGGGGGCCGGCCCAAAGGGAAGGGGAGGAGCAAAGGCGACCAGACACAAGUGCAACUGGACGGCGCGGCCGCGGAGGUGCAGCCGCCCGCGGCCGCCAUGGAGAGCAGCGUCCUCACCCUGGUUUCCGUCGGUUACGAGACCAUCUCCACCGGCCUGAGCGCCACGACGCCGGGCCUGGCGUAGCGAUGGGGGGCGGAGACUGGGUGGGAUUUUCUAAGGGACGAUCGUGUUGUGUUCCGUUACGUGAGCACCGCAGGUAUCUUUGGUCGUUUUUCUGAUGCAAUGUUUCUUUCCCCCAGAUAUUUCAAAUAAACUUUUCCAACAUUUGCGGCA
rnacentral:lncRNA from 1 species